ACUUCCUUCUCCAGGGCUUCGCUGAACUCUGCACAGACCUCAAUUACAACCCUUAUAAAGCUGGGUUGUGGUCGGGUGCGGUGGCUCAUGCCUGUAAUCCCAGCACUUGGGAGACUGAGGCAUGUGAGUCGCCUGAACCCGGGAGGCAGAGGUUGAAGUGAGCCGAGAUCGUGCCACUGCACUCCAGCCUGGGCGACAGAGCGAGACUCCGUCUCAAAAAAUCUGGAAGUUUGACUGUUGCAUCUCCCUUGGCCUGACAUUGCUGACUGCACACUCGAGGUUCUGUUCAACACACUGCUCUGUCCUGUGAUCGUCCUGUGAAUUGCCAGCUGAAUCCAGAGACUGGCUCAGGCUCAGGAUUGAUCCCUUUGGUCAGACUGCAGGUAACAAGAGGAUUCAGAAUCUGAGAGAUACUGCUUAAAAGGAAAAUGUCCUGGAGGGAUGCCAAACUGCACUCUCAAAGGUUUCGGCUGGAUGUGUGAUAUUGAUGGGGAAACCCAUUUCAGUGUCUCUAAGAAGGGGGUAGUGCUCCUCUUUCCAGGAUGUCUCUGGGGAAUCUAGAGCACCCCAAAGUGUGGUAUGCAUAGAAACAUUGCUGCUUAAGGUCUGAAUAUUUGUUCCUCAUCAAUUCAUGUGUUGAAAUUCUAACCUCUCCUGAAUGGGAUUAGUGCUCUUACACGAGAGGCCUGACAGAGACUCCUCACCCUUCCCACCAUGCGAAGACACAGUGAGAAGGCUCAGUCUAUGAACCAAAAUGUUGACUGUCACCAUUUACUCAAUCUGCUGUCGCCUUGAGCUUGGACUUCCCAGCCUCCAGAACUGUGAGAAAUAAAUUUCUGUUGCUUAUAAGACAACCAGUUUAUGACAUUUCGUUAUAGCAGCCUGAAUGGACUAAGACACCCUUCCCACCAUGUGAAGACAGAGUGAGAAGGUUCGGUCUAUGAACCAAAAACUGACCCUCACCAGUCAUUGAAUCUGCUGGUGCCUUGAUCUUGGACUUCCCAGCCUCCAGAACUGUGAGAAAUAAAUUUCUGUCGUUUAUAAGCCA